rnacentral:rRNA from 1 species
AUACGGAGGAUGCAAGCGUUAUCCGGAUUUAUUGGGUUUAAAGGGUGCGUAGGCGGAUGAUUAAGCGUGAGGUGAAAUGCCACUGCUCAACAGUGGAACUGCCUCGCGAACUGGUUGUCUUGAAUGCUCCUGCCGUGGGAGGAAUGUGUGGUGUAGCGGUGAAAUGCAUAGAGAUCACACAGAACACUGAUUGCGAAGGCAUCUCACGAAGGGGUGAUUGACGCUGAGGCACGAAAGCGUGGGGAUCAAACAGGAUUAGAUCCCCUGGUAGUCCACGCAGUAAACGAUGAUAACUAACCGCUGGGUCGUAGUGAUUCAGUGGCCAAGCGAAAGCGAUAAGUUAUCCACCUGGGGAGUACGACCGCAAGGUUGAAACUCAAAUGAAUUGGCGGGG